UUAUUUUUGAAGUUAUUUCGAUUCUUAUAUAUAAAAGCAUCAAGACUAAUUUUAGAAUUGGGGGAGUCAACUCUUAAUUAAUUAACAGUUAAACUCGGUUGAUUUUUCCUCUAUCAAAAUCAGUCACUCACGCAGAAUUCAAUUGGCUUUUCGUCUUCAUCUUUCACGUUCAUUUUCGAGAAAAUCUAAAGUCGAGAAGCAAAGGUUAGCAUAUUAAAUCAGGUUCUCAGAUUACAAACCCUCACACCAGGUUCGUUUUAGUUGUUUUUAGUUGUAUAUCCAUCAUGUUAUCAACUUUGUUUUUUCUCUAAUUUUGUUGUAUUCCCAUGAAUUUGAAAAACACAAUCGUGUCUUCAUCUCUUUUUUAAUAGAAAGAGACAAUAAAUCUUCUACCGAAUUAUUUAUAUCUGUAUUAUUUUGGAGCAAUGUCAAGCAUGAAGCCAGUAUUGUUUGCAAACCAUUAAAUAUUGCCUUCAUUGGCGGUGUAAAUAAAUAUGGGUGGUCCUUGGUGUAAGUACUUGUUGUUAAUGAGGUACUUUUGGUUCAAGGGUUUGUUCAAAAUGAAUUAGAUCUCUGAUUGGGGAGGGUUUCUUCAUGAAUUUGUACAAAAAUGAAUUAGGUAUGUGAUUUGGGGUUUUUUAUUCGUGAAAAUUGGGUAUGUGAAUAGGGUUUUUUUCAUGAAUUUAUUCAAAAAAAUGAAUUGGGUAUGUGAUUUGGGGUUUUUUGUUCUUGAAUUUGUUUAAAAAUGAAUGGGUAUGUGAUUUGGGGUUUUUUCUUCAUGAAAAUUGGGUACAACUUCCCAUAUGUGUUUCCCCUGCAAUAAUUUUCCACAUUUUGGUUGCUUAUUAUAAAUUGAAUUGUUUUACUUGAGAUGCAUGUGUUAUUUCUAAUUGGCAAAUUAUUCUGACAAGGAGAUAUUUCAAAUUAACUAUAAUGAAUUUAAUUCAAUUUCCUUUCAAAUGUUGUGAUUCUUUCGUGUGUUAUGCAAGUUCUAAUUGGAGGGGUGUUACAGACUGAUUGAUGUACUCAUGAGUAAUUGUUGAAGCUGAUCAAUGCCAAGAACAUUAUGGAUAUAAUACUCGAGAAUUUCUGAAUAUUAUUAAUAAAUAUAUUAAUAAAAAUCGAGUAUUUAUUUGAGUAUAAUUGCAUAUUGUUGUGACAAGAGUUAUAGUACUUCUAUUCACUUAAAUUAAGUGUUGAGAAAUAUAUGACAGUAAGGUAAUGUAGUAACAUUGGUGAAGAGUUUAAUAUAAAGCUUGUGAGAAUUGCCUAGUGCGGCAUAAUAAAGGACUAAGAAAUUCAUUAAGUGAAUUAAGAGAGAGACUAUUUAAUAAGAGAAAGAUUAAUUAUGUGUAAUUAUAUAUAAUGGAAUGAUUAUAUAACUCCAUGCAUGAAAUAAAUAAGAUUUUUAGCUAGUAGUAUUAUCAAUUUGGGAUUUAAGUCAUGUUAUGUGAAACUGGUAUAAUGGUAGAGGUCGGGACUGACAUGAAGCUAAACCAGUUGAGCACUGCCAGGGACCGGCGCAGCUGCGCCCUUCCUGCAGUACAAACUGGCGCAGCUGCGCCAGUGGCCAGAGUUUGAAAGUUUUUUAUUACUGUAGAAAUUAUAUACAACAUUAUUGUAAUGUGUGACAUUAUUAAAAUCAUAUGAUAAGAGUACAUUUAAUGGUAUGAGGUACCAAGUAGCAUAAUAAAAUUUUGUGACAUUUUAAUACAUAAACAAUUAAUUAACUGUGUAUCUCAGAAAUUCAGAAAAGAAUUAAAUGUUUUAAUUUUUAAAAUAGACAUUUAAUAUUGGAUAGUGUUAUAAUAUUGAUGUAUGUGCACUAAUAAUAUCUAUGGAGAAUACCCGGUCAAUAAUACCUAACUGCAUUAUUUUAUCUGCAUUAAAUAUUAAAUUAUAUGAACCCAAUGUACAUGGAUUAUAUGAUAUGGGUACCUAUAUAAUCCCUAACUUUUCAUUAUGUAGUAACAUUUGUACAUUAGAAUCACAUGAGGGAACAAAAAGGGAAUUAAAUUAACCACAAUUGAACCAAAUGCUGAGGAUUUAAAAGCUUUGUUCCGUUUCAGUUACCAAACAGUAACCUAUAUCUACUUUAUGUAAAAUGCAAAGCUAAGCAUAGUGACUACAACCUACGUGAUGAUGGCUGGAGAUGGCUGAGGAAAUGGUGGUUGACCAACUCUUAUAUAACCAUUCUUUUCUUCUUCUACCCAUUGGAUUCCAAACUUAAUGCAAAACCAUUAACCAGACAACCAUUUCUCUAUAAAUGGCAGCUUCAUUUUCAAUUCUUGUUGCUGUAAAUUGUCUGAGGAAUUAUAAGUUGAGAGUGUGAGUUUCUUUGUUGAGUAGGAAGGAGUCUGAGAUUGUAAAUAGUAGACAUUUAAGCUUCAAGAAGGUAAAAAUCUGAUUUUGUGUUCUUAAUUUCUAACUUGAUGAAUUCCUGGAAUUUCUAUGAAAACUUCUGCGAUUAUGGUUGUGGAUUGAUAUAGAUGUGUUUAUUAAGCUUGUUUACAUAUAUGAUGUAAGACCCCGAAUUUUAUGAAAUGAAAGUAUUCAAUUUUCUUAUAAUUAUUAUUUUAUUUCGUAAAUGGUUAAAUUGAUAAGAGGUUAAAGUUAAGGGUGAUAUGUGAAAAUUUUGCAAAGUAAGGAAGUUGAUGUAAAAUAUUCAUUGUGUCGGAGAGUAUUCGUUUUAACAGGGAAUAUUCGUACGACGGCAUAAUCAUUGGUGGACCCCACAACGAAAGUAUUGUCGUAGUUAGAAAAUGACAGAAAUAUAUUUUUAUAAAAAUAACGGCGAAAGUUUUACCGUUAAACUGUUGAACUACUCGGUAGUAAAAGUACAGUAAUACGCGUGGUUGCAUAGUAGCACACGAUAUUGAUUAUUGAUGCUUACUAAAUCACUCAGUUAUACUCAAUUAUUGUUACAUAAUUGCUGCAUCAUAUCUCUCAUAUUAUUGAUUCAAUUAUUGUCACAAUAUCAUCUGCAAAAUAUUUUAUAUUAUUAAAUCAAUAAUUGAGACGACAAAGUUAUUUAUAUUAUUAUUUGCAAUAUUGACAAUGUCUAGAAGUUCUGUCAAGGAGAGGUUUGGUCACCUAAUUGCGCGCCAAUAAGGAGAAAUCCUUAUCGGAAAGCCCCCUCUUUCCUGGGAACGACCUGGUUGUUAAAUAUUGUGAGUUAUAAUAUUAAUAAUGAAUAAGUUCGUGUUGAUUAAAGAUAAAAUUUAUAGUUCCAUUGUGUUGAGAUUAUUAGUGUUAGUGGAAAUCGAUAUUUAUUUCGAUAAUAAUUGAUGUCUGGAAGUUAUAUUAACCAAUCGAGUAAUUAAUCGGAUAAAUUAGUAAUUAAUUACUAUUAAUUCACAUGCUUAAUUGCUAUUAAUUCGCUUGAAAUAAUAUUUUCUUCCAUACUCUAUAGUAUGUAAGUAAUAUUAUUUCAUUUCAGAUUUUGAAUUCUAUACUCAUUUUGUUGAAGUUUUGGCUUUUAUACUCCAUGAAAUUAGUAGAAUAUCUUUGAUAUUUGCGCUUCAUCCAAUAUCUUUUCAUGGAAAUAUUAUUCUGAGCUUUCUUGAUAAUUAUUGAUCUUUUCAUGACGAAGUACUAUUCACGAGUUACUAUUUAUGGGUUACUAUUCACCCGGUUACUAUUCACUCAAAUAUUAUUCAUUCGGGUAUUCGGGACACUUUUCAUGUCGAAGUACUAUUCAUGAGUUACUAUUCACCCGAAUAUUAUUCACUCGGGUAUUUGGGGUACUUUUCAUGCCAGGGUACUAUUCACGAGGUAUUAUUCCUGAAGUACUAUUCACAGGGUACUAUUCACGGGGUACUAUUUACCCGAAAAAUACAUUUUUUUUCUGUCCAAAUUAUUUUUGGUACAUAAAUAUUAUUCUUGAAUUUUACUCCACAAAGCAGUAUCAUGUUGACAAUUUAGAUAUUUUUAAACUCUGAAUAAAUUUAAAGUCUUUAAUAUUUAUCCUUGAUUUCAUUUGAUUAAUGCUUAUAUCAUUGUCAUCAUCAUCAUGCUUAUAUUGUGAUGAAAGUCAUCUUUGGCUUACGUGCAUAGAUGGACUGUUGAUUGGUAUGAUUAUGACAAGGGAUCAUUCGGUAUAAUCAUGACCCCUAAUGUUACAAAUGAUGUGGUAAAAGUCCUCAUUAGUCCGUAGUGCAUUGAUGAACAAUUGUUAGUAUGAUUAUGACCAGGGAUUAUUCGGUAUAAUCAUGACCAUUGAUGAUUACAUGAAUAUAUUUGGCCCGUAGUGUAGGGAUGAUUCGAUGAUGUGGUUUAUUUAUUAAGCUGAGUCUCAACGAUAAAGUUGAUGAAAAACUUUUUAAAUCAUAGAAGAUAGUAGAUAUCAUGCUCUACUUGACUCUUCUAAUGGAGUGCUUAUUCCGCUGCAGUUGUUGAUCUAAAACGUGUUGUCUAGUAUAUUCUAUCAGUUGUUAUACUGUUGAAGGCUAAGGAUAAUUUAUUCUGCAUUAUCUUAGUCAUGAUAUUUCUUACUGGGCUAGUUGAGCUCACCCUUUUCUUUCAUUGUUCUCUUCAGGAAAUGAGAAUAUAGCUGGGAUGAGUCGGGAAAUGGAGUGAUGAUCCAGGAUAAGUGGCUUUAGUAGUCCUCACUAUUCUGUGAAAUAGUGUGAUAAUAAUUGUAAUGGGGACUCCAUUGAGAGUGGAUAUUGUCUAGAAGGCAAUAUUCUUGUUUAAACUCUCAGCUAUGUUUUGUCGUAUAUUACCCGACAGUUGUAUAAUUAAGUUUGUAUUUGAUUUAUGUACCAACUAUCUGGCGACUCAAGAUGGGUUAUGUAUACCUAUUUUGGGGGCGUCACAGUUGGCAUCAAAGCUUAGGGAUAUGAUCCUUGGCUGAGAUGUGAGACUAGAACUAGGAGGGGAGAGACAGGUAAUUCCUUUGCUAGUAUGACCUAUCUAAGUUUAUUUGGUAUUUAAUUGGUCGGUCAGAGUAUAGGGAUAAUAUGUGAUAUGUCAAUUAACCCUUGUUUUGUGACAAUGUUUAAAAAUGGCAUCUGAAAAUGUUGAGAUCAGCAAUGAAGCACAUGAGACCGUUGAGUCACCAACGAUCAAUACCCAGGAUAAUGUGCAACAGGAAGACAAUAAUCCUCAGGUAAAUAACAACACCGAUCAGAUGAUGAACGAUGAGAUAUUCAGAGGCUUUAUGCAAUUCAUGCAACAUCAGGCGAGAGAGACUCCUGUUCAAAAUUCAGAUGAAAAUACUGGCAACUCUCGGAUGGUCAUUGCUAAGCAGUUCAAGGAGCUGGGACCGCCGGAGUUUUUGGGAAAGCCAGAACCACUUAAGGCGAAGACGUGGAUAAAGCAAAUCACCAAGAUAUUUGAUGUCUUGAAAUGCUUAGAGGAACAAAAGGUUCCCUUCGCCACCUUUAUGUUGCGUGAAGAGGCAGAUUAUUGGUGGGAAUCUGUAAAGCGUACCCAGCCUGACGCACUCAAGAUGUCUUGGAAGAAGUUUCAAGAGUUGUUCAACGACAAGUACUUUCCCGAAAGUAUUCGUCACAUGAAGGUGGUGGAAUUCAUCAAGUUGGAGCAAAACAAUAUGACUGUGUCGCAAUACGAGACUAAAUUUGCUGAGUUAUCCCGGUUUGCAUCCUAUUUGGUCGAUAAUGAGGAGCGAAUGACGCAAAUGUUUCUAAGAGGUUUGAAACUCGAUAUACGUCAAUACCUCAUUUCUCGCAAACUUUGUUUAUAUUCAGAUGUUGUGAAUAGGGCUCAGUUAUUAGAGCGCGAUAAUGAGUCAGCACAACCAAAAGGCAACGACCAACAACACGAUAAUAAUCAUACCGGUGGGAACGGCCAUCGGAACAACGAUAACCAUCAUGGGGGAAAUUAUCAUGCCAAGAAUGGUAAACACUUCGGUGGUAAUCAUGGCAAAGAUAAUAGAAGUGGAAAAUUCAGAAAGAGAAGAUUUAACGAUGAUGGGAAGACGUCGGCAGCAGCACCAACACCAAUAACAAAUUCUAGGGGAGGAGAACGACCGCCAGUUAGAUGCUAUAGAUGCGGAGAGGAGGGACACAUAAGUCCAAACUGUUCACAACCUUCCAACGUAUAUUUUAGUUGUGGAAAAGACGGUCACAUAGCUUGAUUUUGUCUUGUUGCGAAAUCAAGUCUAGCUGGGAUGGUGGCACCAAAGGCAGAUACGGACAAAAUAAAGUCGGUGGUUUUAGGAAGAGCAUUUUUCGUGACUUCUCAAAAAGCGAGUAACUCGAACAAAGUUAUCAUGGGUUAGUUAAUCAUAAACUCUUGCGAAGUCUAUACCUUGUUAGAUACAAUUUCUACCCAUUCUUUUAUUUCUCCUACUUGAGCUCAAUGUUUAAAUUUAAAUCCAGAGAAAUUAGACUUUGACUUAUCUGUUGAAACUCUAUUAGGAGAAACCUUAAUUACAUGUGCUAUCCAAGUAUUGGAUGGGAGUCACAGUUUUUAAAUGAUAUUUUUAUCGUUAAUAAAUUUCAUGACGUAUUCUCUGAAGACUUCCUGACCUACCCUAGAGCGUGAAAUCAAAUUUUAUAUUGACCCCAGUACAAAAUCCAUUUCUAAAACCCUUAAAUAUUUCUUCAACCAAAACGAACGUAUAAUGCGCCAAAGACAUUGGCUCGAGUUGUUGAAGAUUACGACCACACCAUUCAAUAUUAUCGUGGAAAAAAUGAACGUGGUAGCUGAUGCAUUGGGUAGAAGAUCGUAUGCGUUUACGAUUGUAACGUUGUUAACACAAAGACCCAUUUCGUAUAACUUACAAAUAAUGAAGAUAGAGUUAAAGACCCUAAGGACCCACGUGGUGAUAUCAAAUAUACGAAUAGAAUCGACUUUAAUCAAUAAAGUUAAAAGUCGUUCAAGCUACAGACCCGGAGCUGAUGAAUACGAAGAGGAAGGUUCAAGAAGGCGUUAUUCUAGAAGCAAGACUCGAUCAAGAGAGGAAAUCUCAACCCUUGAUUUUAUUGGUCUAUUUGAAAUCCUCGAUCGAGUAGGAACUGUGGCCUAUAGGCUCGUUUUACCACCAAGUAUGUUGCAUGUUCAUAACGUUUUUCACGUAUCGAUGUUACGUAAAUAUGUGGACGACCCGAACCAUAUUAUUGAAUUAGAACCGGACGAAAUAGCGGAAGAUUUAACGUAUGAGGAGAUACCUGUUAAAAUCUUGGAUAAGAAGAAUCAUAUUCUACACUCAAAGGUUAUACCUCAAGAGUUAGAAUCUGACGAGGUAUCCUCACCUCUUCGGCAUACCAGGUAUGUACGUAAAUUUCGAGGGCAAAAUUUCAUAAAGAGGGGAGAUUGUAAGACCCCAAAUUUUAUGAAAUGAAAGUAUUCAAUUUUCUUAUAAUUAUUAUUUUAUUUCGUAAAUGGUUAAAUUGAUAAGAGGUUAAAGUUAAGGGUGAUAUGUGAAAAUUUUGCAAAGUAAGCAAAUUGAUAUAAAAUAUUCAUUGUGUCGGGGAAUAUUCGUUUUAACAGGAAAUAUUCGUAUGAUGGCAUAAUCAUUGGUGCACCCUAUAACGAAAGUAUUGUCGUAGUUAGAAAAUGACAGAAAUAUCUUUUUAUAGAAAUAACGGUGAAAGUUUUACCGUUAAACUGUUGAACUACGCAGUAUUAAAGUAAAGUAAUACGCGUGGUUGCAUAGUAGCAUACGGUAUUGAUUAUUGAUGCUUACGUGAGAAAUCACUGAGUUAUACUCAAUUAUUGCUACAAUAAUUGCUGCAUCAUAUCUCUCAUAUUAUUGAUUCAAUUAUUGUCACAGUAUCAUCUGCAAAAUAUUUUAUAUUAUUAAAUCAAUAAUUGAGACGAUAAAGUUAUUCAUAUUAUUAUUUGCAAUAUUGACAAUGUCUAGAAGUUCUGUCAAAGAGAGUUUUGGUCACCUAAUUGCGCGCCAAUAAGGAGAAAUCCUUAUCGGAAAGCCCCCUUUUUCCUGGGAAUGACCUGGUUAUUAAAUAUUGUGAGUUAUAAUAUUAAUGAUGAAUAAGUUCGUGUUGAUUAAAGAUGAAAUUUAUAUUUCCAUUGUAUUGGGAUUAUUAGUGUUAGUGGAAAUCGACAUUUAUUUCGAUAAUAAUUGAUGUCUGAAAGUUAUAUUGACCAAUCGGGUAAUUAAUCGGAUAAAUUGGCAAUUAAUUGCUAUUAAUUCACAUGCUUAUAACUAUGUGUUCACAUGUGUGUACUAUUGAUUCACAUGUAUGUACUAUUAGGGGAGGUAGCGCAAGAUUGAUAAUACUUGUAUGACUAAAUUAAAAAUAAAGGUAUAGAUGAAGGUACUAUCUUGUAAUUAUUUUUUUCACAUGUAUAAAACUAUUGAGUCACAUGAUUGUACUAUUGAUUCACAUGAUAUACUAUUAGGGGAGGUGGUGCAAGUUUGAUAAUACUUGCAGGACUAAAUUAAAAAUGAAAGAAAAAAAAUGAAGGUAUUAUACUGUAAUAUUUCGAGCCCCAAAACGUGCAAUUAUCGAAACUAUAUUUUUCUAUAAAUCAAAGCUCAUUCUUCCUUCAUUCUCACCAAUUCACUAAGACUCAUAAGAGCAAUUAUAGAGAGAGAUGCUAUAUAGAGAGAAGCUAUAGAGAGAUAGAAGAAGAGUAGUCUGCUACUUCACUACUCAAGUAUCUAGUCUUCUUCUGAGGUAAGGGGUAUUAUUUAUUUCAUAUUUUGAAGAGAUAUUAUUUUUCGUAUUCGUAUGAAUAUUAUUUUCAUUCAAUAUUCGUAAGGAUUAUCAUCUUCGUUCAAUAUUCGUAGGAAUAUUAUUUUCGUUCAACAGUCGUAAGGGGUAUUAUUUAUUUCAUAUUCUGAAGAGAUAUUAUUUUUCGUAUUCGUAUGAAUAUUAUUUUCGUUCAAUAUUCAUAAGGAAUAUUAUCUUCGUUCAAUAUUCGUAGGAAUAUUAUCUUCGUUAAAUAUUCGUUGGAAUAUUAUUUUCGUUCAACAGUUGUAAGGGAUGUUAUUUUUGUUCAAUAUUCGCUUGAAAUAAUAUUUUCUUCCUUACUCUAUAGUAUGCAAGUAAUAUUAUUUCAUUUCAGAUUUUAAAUUCUAUACUCAUUUUGCUGAAGUUUUGGCUUCUAUACUCCAUGAAAUUAGUAGAAUAUCCUUGAUAUUUAUGAUUCAUCUAGUAUCUUUUUAUGGAAAUAUUAUUUUGAGCUUUCUUGAUAAUUAUUGAUCUUUUCAUGACAGAGUACUAUUCAUGAGUUACUAUUCAUGGGUUACUAUUCACUCAAAUAUUAUUCACUCGGGUAUUCGGGGCACUUUUCAUGCCAGAGUAGUAUUCAUGAGUUACUAUUCACCCAAUUACUAUUCACCCAAAUAUUAUUCACUCGGGUAUUUGGGGUACUUUUCAUGUCGAGGUACUAUUUAUGAGGUACUAUUCCCGAAGUACUAUUCACAGGGUACUAUUCAAGGGGUACUAUUUACCCAAAAAAUACAUUUCUUUUCUGUCCAAAUUAUUUUUGGUACAUGAAUAUUAUUCUUGAAUUUUACUCCACAAAGCAGUAUCAUGUUGACAAUUUAGAUAUUUUUAAACUCUGAAUAAAUUUAAAGUCUUUAAUAUUUAUCCUUGAUUUCGUUUGAUUUGUUUUCGUUUGAUUAUUGCUUAUAUCAUUGUCAUCAUCCUCAUUCUUAUAUUGUGAUGAAAGUCAUCUUUGGCUUACGUGCAUAGAUGGACUAUUGAUUGGUAUGAUUAUGACCAAGGUUCAUUCGGUAUAAUCAUGACCCGUAAUGUUACAAAUGAUGUGGUAAAAGUCCGAUUUGGCCCGUAGUACAUUGAUGGACAGUUGUUGGUAUGAUUAUGACCAGGGAUUAUUCGGUAUAAUCAUUACCAUUGAUGAUUACAUGAAUAUCCUUGGCCCGUAGUGCAGGGAUGAUUCAAUGAUGUGGUUUAUUUAUUAAUCUGAGUCUCAGCUAUAAAGUUGAUGAAAAACUUUUUAAAUCAUAAUUUAAGAUAGUAGAUAUCAUGCUCUACUUGACUCUUCUAAUGGAUUGCUUAUUCCGCUACAGUUGUUGAUCUAAAACGUGUUGUCUAUUAUAUUCUAUCAGUUGUUAUAUUGUUGAAGGCUAAGGAUAAUUUACUCUGCAUUAUCUUAGUCAUAAUAUUUCUUACCGGGCUAGUUGAGCUCACCCUUUUCUUUCAUUGUUCUAUUCAGGAAAUGAGAAUAUAGCUGGGACGAGUCGGGAAAUUGAGUGAUGGUCCAGGAUAAGUGGCUUUAGUAGUCCUCACUAUUCUGUGAAAUAGUGUGAUAAUAAUUGUAAUGAGGACUCCAUUGAGAGUGGAUAUUGUCUAGAAGGAAAUAUUCUUAUUUAAACUCUCAGCUAUGUUUUGUCGUAUAUUAAGACAGUUGUAUAAUUAAGUUUGUAUUUGAUUUAUAUACCAAAUAUCUGGCGACUCAAGAUGGGUGAUGUAUACCUAUUUUGGGGGCGUCACAUAUGAACCCUUUAUAGAUAGGUUUAAGCAUGUUUAGAAUGAAGGAAUCGAAGGUGGGUUUGAUACUCUGCAGAUAGAGCUCUUUCAUGGUUCUUUUCAGGAAGGGCGCAACUAUGCCCAGUUUGUACUAGGGUGCAGCGCAGCUGCACCAGUCCCCAGAACCAGAUUCUGGCUUCUGUUGUGCUGUGAUAUUUCUAGCCUACAAGUUUGGUUUAGAUAUGCAUGAAAACAAGUAUAAUAUGUAGUAUAAAGCUCUCUUAUAAGAUAUGAAUUGUCCAAGCAUGACCUAGUAGGAAUUCUAUAACAAAAGCUUAAAGUUUUGAAAACAAACUUUGAUGGAACUUGUAUUCUACAAAUUCUGAGCAUGAUAAUAUACAUAUAUGACUUAUUUAUGAACAUAAAUGAGCAUGGGUUGUGAUGUAUGGUCCCUUUGUUCUUGUCCAAAUUGUGUGGCUUUAAACUAAAUGCUUUUUCAAGGGAAAUUUGACGUAUUUGAAACUAAUAUCCAUGGAUACCACAACGAAUAUGUUCUAAUUCGUUGGGCAUGAGUAUAAGGUCUAGUCAUGCAUGAAAUAGGGUUAUAAGAUGCUUCGUAUGCACUACAUUGCCUUGACUUGUUUUAAAACAAUUUCAAAAGCAAACUCGGAUAUUUGAUCUUCGUAUUGAAUGUAAGUCCCUAAACUCUUUACAAUAUAUAUGUUAUAUAAUUCUGAAUUAUUGUCAUCCAAUCACACUUAUAUCAAGUAAAUAUCUAUUGCUAUUCAAAAAUCAUUUGUAUAUCUUGAUAUAGUUGUAAGCAUUGAACUUAUUGUUUUUAAAUACAUUAUAAACGUUGUCUAAGCCAUUGAUUCGGCUAGACUAUUAUCGUAUGUUGGAAAGCUAUCCAGACCAAUCGAAUUGGUGCGGACUCUUAUAAUUGACUGAGAUGAACAACCCUGCUUGAAGGGGAAACUAUAUAAUUAUCGGGAGACUGACGUGAGCACAUGAGUAUGAUUAAAUGUUAUUCAUAAUGUAGGGUACUUAGGUUGAUCACCUGUUAUACUCAUGUUAUUAAAUUUUUAGUGUAAUACUAUUAAUUCUAGUAGAAGUGUUUAGUCCUUAGUGACUGCUCAGUGUUCAUUAAUCUUGAACUUUGAUAUGAUUAACUCUUUUGUUAAUAUCUUUCAUGUCCAUAGCAACUUUAUUGAGAACUGUUGAUAAUUCCUGAACUACUAUUCAUUGUUCACCGUUAUUACGAUAUUACUUGCUGGGCAAAUUUGUUCCUCAUCCUUGCUUCCUUAAAACUUUCAGUUAAGGCAGAACGCGGUGAACCUUCAGCCAAGGACAAGGGAAUAGAUAAGGCUUCAGAAUAGCUUUGUUUCCUAGGGUUAGGAAUUUACUAUUAUUAUGUUGUGUGAAUACUUAGUUACUAUGAUGUAAUAAGUUAUGUUAAAUUAAGUUUUAAUAUUGUAGUAACGGUUCGAGACCUUGGGACGAGAAUAAUUAUGUUAUGACAUUAUAAAUUAUUCUAGUAUUCAGUUGUUAAUGAUUUUAGUAUGAUAUUAAAAUUUUCACGUGAUGCACCGAAUUCGAGAUAUGAGUGUCCGAAUUUGGGGGCGUCACAAGUUGGUAUCAAAGCAUUAGAUUAUAAACCUUAGGAAUGAGAAUCCUUAAACUACAACCUUAGAAGAACUUGGAGGAUAGAAGGAGAUAAAACUCAUAUAGAGUUUCUCUAAGGAUGUAGUAACAUUAUGAAAUAUAUUUUCAUUCUAUACAAUGGAUUUAUGUUUGAUUUUGGCAUUUUAACGGAUUUUGUUAUUUGUUGUCUUGUGUUUGUGGUUGUAGGAUUUCGGAUUUGGGAGGACCCAGAAGAGUGGUAGAGGAGGAGCCACGUGAUAUACAUGUAGUAUAUGAGGCACCUCUGAUAGCGGAACCCAUUUCGGCAGUAGUCCCUAUAGAUGACGAGGAUGAGGAGGAGGAGAUGGAGUCAGCAGUUGUAGAGUCAGAUUCCGAGGAAGAUCCCAUGGAGGAUGAGCCCGUGGAAGACUCCGACGAGGCUACAUUCGAGGAUCGGAUGUUGGGGGAAUACGAGGAAUGGAUUUUGGAGUUUGAGUGCCGAGUUGAGGAACUAGAGACCCAACCUCAAGAGAGAGAAAUCAAGAUACAGAAACUAAGGGGAAAAGACAAUAAAAGGAAGCUGGAGGUGCAAGAGUUGGAGGUAGAACUUGCAUAUCGCAAAGAGGAAGGAGUGCAGAUGGGAACCCUUUUCCAUCGAUCGAUAGCCAGGAAUGUUAAGUUGGUAGGCAAGCUAGAGGAGUCCGAGCAAAGGGAGUUAAAUGAGAAAGUUGAGAAGGAGGUCCUUCGUACACAGUUAGAGAUGGAAGUUAUGGAUAGGAUCCACUUCAAGGAAAAGUGGGAAGAAGUUAAUGAUAGGGUAGGAGACCUGGAAGAUUAGGUGAGAUAUAAGAGGAGAAAGAUGAACCAAAUGAACUACGCUUUUCGCACAGCUAUGGAGAGAUUGAUUGAUGGUAUGUACCAUUAUCCGGCGGAACAAGGGUUGAAUCGUCACACUUUGAUCAGAGAAAUGAUGGCUCACAUGACACAGGUCGAGUACAAGAGCGCAGUGGAGCGUGGGAUGUUGGGAUAGCUGGUUGGUUCAGUGUCCAGUAGUGUAGGUUGUUGUGAAUGAUAUGUAAUCCCAAUCUUUUGUGUGAAGUAUGGGAUAGUUAUGUAAACCCCGAGUAGGUUCAUGUUAAAGGGGUGGUAUAUUAGUGUUUCCCCAUCUUUUGUGAUAUUAGGGGAUAUAUGUAAACGUUUAUAGAAGUAUGCUAGGAAUGAUCAUAAUGAUGUAAUGAUUUGGCAUAUGAAUAUAAAUGUUCUUAUUCAGAGAAUGUGUUAUGAAAUCUGUUUCCUUGUUACGAAAAAGAAAUACUUAAUUAAUAUAAUUAAAUAAUAAGAAUGAAAUUUUGUAAUGCAGAAAAUGCCACCCAGACGUAGACCAACAACACUGGAAGAGUCAGUCGAUAACGAGAGAGAACAAGUAGACCCUAUCCAAAGGCAAGUAGAUUUGCUAGGAUAAGAGAGGCCCUACGGGGAAGAAAUAACGAACUAGUACCACCCAACCCUCAAGUGGUUCCAGUUACGAACUUAAAGGACUUAGGAGUGUAGGACCUCCAGAAUUCGUGGGUACUACCAAUCCUAUUAUGGCACAGACAUGGAUCAAAGAGAUGGAGAAAGCCUUAGCUAUUGCUCAUGUGGUUGAAGAGCAAAAAACUGUGUUCGCUACAUAUAUGAUGAGGAGUGAAGCAAACUACUAGUGGGAAGCCAAUCAAUAGAGAGCGGGAGAGGGGAUUAUAACUUGGGAAAGGAUUAAGGAUUUGUUUUUCAAGAACUAUUUUCCAAAAAGCAUGAAGGAUAUGAUGGAGGUGAAGUUUCUAGAACUAAAACAAAGAGAGAUGACGAUGGCUCAAUAUGCGGCCAAUUUCAAUGAACUCGCGCAUUUUGCAACGCACCAGGUAGACACGGAAGAGAGAAAAGCUAGACGCUUUGAGUUAGGACUAAAACCUUGGUUGUUUAACAAGGUGUCGGUCCUUCAAAUUGACUCAUUCGCCACAUUAUUGGAGAAGGCAAUCAUUGUUAAGGGAGGUAGUGAGGUGUUGAGUCAGUACAACAAGGAAAAGAAGAACAAGAAUACUGGGGGAGAUACUCGUGGAGGGAAUAGUAGUAAUGGAGGAAGUAACCUAGGAAAAAGGAAAUGGGAUAAUAACAACAGAAACAAUAAUCAAGGAGGAAGUUUUCAUGGAGGGUUUAAGAAGAGAGCGGAGGGAUGGUCAAAAUGUGGAAAGAACCACCAAGGAGAGUGGUGGAAGGGGCGCAGUGUUUGUUACAACUGCUGCCAAGAAGGGCAUAUUUCACCAAAUUGCCCAAAGCUGAAGAAGUUCAAGGGAUGUUUCACUUCUGGCUCCACCGAGCACCAGAUCAAGGAUUGUCUCAAGAAGGGGAGCAGCGGAGAAAGCGACUAUCAGGGAGGAGGUAGCAAGCUUAUGAUCGGCGGACCGACACAAUCCAACCGACCAACUGCCAGACCAUUUAAAAUGACUGUCCAGGAUGCAUUAGCUACGAAGGAUGUGGUGUCAGGUAUUAUCCCAAUCAAUAAUAUAAAUGCCUAUGUAUUAUUUGAUUCAGGUGCUACCUAUUCAUUUGUGUCUAAAGAAUUUGCUAGUUGGCUAAACAUACCCCAAGAACGGUUAGGAAAUCCUUUAAGCAUAGAGGUUGCGAAUAAGGAAGUAAUCCCCGUAGAAUUCGUUUAACAAAACUGUUGUGCAAACAUUAGAGGUCACGAAUUGACCAUAAACUUGAUUCCGAUAAGAUUGGGAGAAUUUGACAUAAUACUAGGAAUGGAUUGGUUAUCCAGCCACGCUAUAAUAAUCGAUUGUCAAAAAAAGUGUGAACCUUCAGACUUCAAAUCGGUCUAAGGUAGUGUUUUAUGGUAGCUCAUCGCUUAAGCAAUCGUGUUGCCUUACGAUGAUGCAGGCCAAGAAAUUAUUAAGAAAAAGAUGUGUAUGUUAUUUAGCCUAUAUAAUGGAUACUCAAAAGAAGGGAGUAGAAAUGAAAAAUAUAGCGGUAGUCAAAGUUUUCCAAGACGUAUUUGCAGAUGAUCUUUUUGGUCUUCCACCAGACAGAGAAAUCGAAUUCAUAAUAGACUUAGCACUAGGAACUGCACCAAUUUUGAAAGCACUAUAUUGUAUGGCGCCAGUAGAAAUGAAGGAAUUGAUGAUGCAACUGCAAGAGUUGCUAGAUAAGGGUUACAUUCGACCGAGUGUGUCUCCUUGGGGAGCACCAGUGCUGUUUGUAAAGAAGAAGGAUGGAUCGAUGAGGCUUUGUAUUGACUAUCGAGAGUUGAACCGAGUGACGAUUAAGAAUAGAUAUCCGUUGCCAUGGAUAGACAAAUUUUUUGAUCAAAUAAAGGGAGCGAAGUGUUUUUCCAAGAUAGAUUUACAGACCGGUUAUCACCAAUUGAAGGUACGAGAAGAAGACAUACCAAAGACGAAAUUCCAAACUCGCUACGGACAUUACGAAUUUCUAGUAAUGUCCUUCAGAUUGACAAAUGCUCCGUCAGCAUUUAUGGACUUGAUGAACCAAGUUUUCAAGCCAUAUUUAGAUAAGUUCGUGGUAUUAUUUAUCGAAAACAUUUUGAUUUAUUUAAAAACCAAGGAAGAACACGCCGAACAUUUGAAGAUGGUAUUAGAAGUGUUGAGAAGGGAGAAGACGUACGCGAAAAUUUUGAAGUGCAAAUUUUGGAUGGAGAAGGUUCAAUUUUUUGGACACGUGAUAGAUCAAAAUGGAAUUUCAGUAGAUCCUACAAAAGUGGAGGUAGUAAGCAAUUGGGAAUAACCGAAGAUGCCAACAGAAGUAAGAAGUUUCUUAGGGCUAGCCGGGUACUAUCAAAGAUUUUUCUAAGAUAGCGACCCCAUUGACCAAUCUGACAAGGAAGAUAGUGAAGUUUGUUUGGAUAGAGAAAUGUGCAAGAGAGUUUCCAAGAGUUGAAGAGGAGAUUAAGUGAGGCGCCUGUAUUAUCAUUACCAGAUAAUACAGGAGGAUUUGUGGUGUAUAGUGACGCAUCGCACAAGGGACUUGGUUGUGUGCUAAUGCAACAUGGCAAGGUCAUUGCGUAUGCGUCAUGACAAUUGAAGGAUUAUAAAAAAAAAUACCCUACUCAUGACUUGGAGUUAGCGGCAGUAGUUUUUGCGUUAAAGAAUUAGAGACACUAUUUGUUUGGAGAAAAAUGUGAGAUAUACAUGGACCAAAAGAAUCUAAAAUAUAUCUUUACAUAGAAGGAGUUAAAUAUGAGACAAAGGAGGUGGUUAAAAUUGAUCAAGGACUAUGACUGUGAGAUUCUCUAUCACCCGGGAAAGGCUAACGUAGUAGCUGAUGCCUUAAGUAGAAAGGGAAGGGAUAAAUUGUUUAAGUUAACAACUCAGGAGGAGUUAAUAAGAGAAAUGGAGAAAUUGGAACUAGAAGUGAAGGAACCAGGAGAGUCUGAGGGAAAAUUGUUUGUGAUGAAAACUCAUCCAGCAUUAUUGGAUAGAAUAAAGGAAUCACAAGAAAGAGAUGAAGAAUGAAAGAAGAUAAAGAAGAGGAUAGUAGAAAAUGAGGAAGGAAGGUUUAAGAUGGAUAAGGACGGUAUUAUAAGAUUUGAAGGUCGAGUAUAGGUGUCAGUUGUACCCAAACUGAGAGGAGAGAUAUUGCACGAAGCACACAAUAUGACAUAUUUUGUUCAUCUAGGAGGUACGAAGAUGUACCAAGAUCUUCGGGAACACUUUUGGUGGCCCAAUCUGAAAUGAGAAGUUAUGGAAUGCGUCAGUAGAUGUCUUACUUUUCAACGAGUCAAAGCAGAGCACCAGCGGCCGAGUGGUCUACUUCAACCAUUAGAGAUACCAAAGUGGAAAUGGGAGCAUAUUACGAUGGAUUUCGUGGUAGGACUUCCAGUCAAGUAGAAAGGUUAUGACGUUAUUUGGGUUAUCAUGGAUCGACUAACGAAUUCAACUCAGUUCAUACCAAUAAAGAUUCAUUUCGAUUUGAAUCAAUUGGCAAAGUUGUACGUGAAUGAGAUCGUUUCGCGACAGUUCUGGUAUCAAUUGUCUCUGAUCGAGAUCCGCGCUUCACGUUAAAUUUUUAGAAAAGCUUGCAAGAGAGAAUGGGGACACAGUUAAGAUUGAGUACCGCUUAUCAUCCAAAAACCGAUGGGAAGAGUGAACGAACCAUACAAACAUUAGAGGAUAUGCUUAGAGCUUGUGUGAUGGACUUCAAGGAAAGUUGCGACGACCACUUGCCCUUAGUUGAAUUUGCCUACAAAAAUAGUUAUCAUGCGAGUAUCGGCAUGCCACCGUACAAAGCUCUUUAUGGGAAGAAGUGCAAAAAAUCGUUGUGUUGGGAUGAAGUCGGUGAACGUAGAAUUAGUUCAACAAACAGCCGACGUAGUGACAACGAUAAGAGCCAGACUGGUAGCUGCACAAGAUCGCCAGAAGAAAUACGCAGAUUUGCAUCGUCAAGACCGCGACUUUGAGGUCGAAAGUUACGUGUUUUUGAAAGUAUCUCCUUGGAAGGGGAAGAUAAGAUUCGGUAAGAAAGGUAAGUUGAGUCCGAGGUUCAUAGGACCAUUCAAGGUAUUGAAGCGAGUAGGCUGAGUGGCACACCAAGUAGCUUUACCACCCGAGCUGGAAAACAUCCACAAUGUGUUUCACAUUUUGGUGUUACGUUCGUACAAGCCUGACUAUAAGCACGUGAUAUCUUAUGAGCCAAUUCAAUUAGAGAAGAAUUUGACUUACGAGGAAAUUCCUAUCCAAAUACUAGAUAGGAAAGAGAAAACUUUGAGAAAUAAAACUAUAUCUUCUAUAAAAGUAAUUUGGCGAAACCACAACGUCGAGGAGGCUACAUGGGAGUUAGAGGAUAAGAUGAGGAGGGACUAUCCCCAUUUAUUUGUGUAACCUUGUACAAUUUCGAGGAAUGAAUUUUUAUCAAGGGGGAGGAUGUAAUAUCCGAGAAUUUCUGAAUAUUAUUAAUAAAUAUAUUAAUAAAAGUUGAGUAUUUAUUUGAGUAUAAUUGCAUAUUGUUGUAACAUGAGUUAUAACACUUCUAUUCACUUUAAUUAAGUGUUGAGAAAUAUAUUACAGUAAGGUAAUGUGGUAAGAUUGGUGAAGAGUUUAACGUAAAGCUUGUGAGAAUUACCUAGUGCGGCAUAAUGAAGGACUAAGAAAUUCAUUAAGUGAAUUUAGAGAGACAUUUUAAUAAGUGAAAGUUUAAUUAUGUGUAAUUGUAUAUAAUGGAAUGAUUAUAUAACUCCAUGCAUGAAAUGAAUAAGAUCUUUAGCUAGUAGUAUUAUCAAUAUGGGAUUUAAGUCAUGUUAUGUGAAACUGGUAUAAUGGCAGAGGUCGAGACUGGCAUGAAGCUAAACCAGUUUGGCACUGCCAGGGACCAGCGCAGCUACGCCCUUCCUGCAGUACAAACUUUCUCAGCUGUGCUAGUGGCCAGAGUUUGAAAGUUUGUUAUUACUAUAUAUAAAUGCUAUGUAACAUUAUUGUAAUGUGUGACAUUAUUAAAAUCACAUGAUAAGAGUACAUUUAAUGGUAUGAGGUACCAAGUAGCAUAAUAAAAGCAUGUGUAACAUUUUAAUACAUAAAUAAUUAAGUAAUUGUGUUUCUCAGAAAUUCAAAAAAGAAUUAAAUAUUUUAAAAUAGACAUUUAAUAUUGGAUAGUGUUAUAAUAUUGAUGUAUGCGCACUAAUAAUAUCUACGGAGAAUACCCAGUCAAUAAUACCUAACUGCAUUAUUUUAUCUGCAUUAAAUUUUAAAUUAUGUGAACCCAAUGUACAUGGAUUAUAUGAUAUGAGUACCUAUAUAAUCCCUAACUUUUCAUUAUGUAGUAACAUUUGUGCAUUAGAAUCACAUGAGGGAACAAAAAAGGAAUUAAAUGAACCACAAUUGAACCAAAUGCUGAGUAUUUAAAAGCCUUGUUCCAUUUCAGUUACCAAACAGUAACCUAUAUCUACUUUACGUGAUUUGCAAAGCUAAGCACAAUGGCUACUAUAAUGUCCGGUGAGUUUGAGAAUCUAGUACAUAUAAUGAUCCUUAGAGAAAGGUAAUGAAUGUGUUAAAGAAUAUGUAAUACUCAAAUAUAAUUGAGUAUAAGUAAAGGUUAUGAAAUAAAACUUACAAGAAUUUAUUGAGAAGAAUGUUUGGAGUGGUAAUAUAUAAAAUCUAUAUUAAGGUAGCGUUGAGGUAUUCAAUGAUAAAAUUUUGAAAAGAGAUUUGGUAAAAACCGAGUAAGAGAGGUUUCGUUGAUUCCGAGAAUGGAACCCUUAUAAGGGAGGAAAGAUGUGACAACCCGAAUUUUCAUAAGUUAUUAAAAUAAGAAUUUAAUAAUUAAAAUUCUUAUUAUGAGAUGUAUAUAUUUUGAAUUAUGUGUUUUGGUGUGAAGAAAUUAAAUUUAUAUGAGAUUUAAUAGUUGAUUAAACUAUUAAAGAAAGUGAAGAAAAUUAGUUAUAAAAAAGGAAAAUGGUGGCAAAAGAAAUUAACUGAAUAAUAUUAGUUAAUUAAGAUGGAAAUUAUAUUAUGGAAUAAUAUAAUUUAAUUGGUAUGCCUUGUUAGUAAUGGAAUUAUUAUGAAUUAAAUCUCAUAAAUAAAGCGAGUAAUUCAUUUAAUUUAAAUAAUGAAUUAAUGUAAAUAUAAUUGUUUUAAUAGAAUGGGAAGAUAAUAUAUUACAUGUAAGAGUAAUGCGUUUAUGUAAUGGCUUAAUAUAUUAUAUUUAGUCAAUUGAAUGUAAAUUGAGUAUGAGAAUGAGAAGAACCAAUAUAAUUAUAAAUAAAUAUUGGUGUUAGAAUUAAUGAAUUAAAUAAAUAUCUAAAUUUUUUAUUAAAAGUAUAGAUUAAAUAAAUUAUCUUGGGACAAUUUAUAGAAGGAAAUAAAUUGUAUAAUUAUACAUAAUUUUAUAAUUUAUUAAAAUAAUUAGUGGAAUAAAUAUUAAUUAUUUUAAUGGAAAUGUUUAGUUGAUUAGAAGUGUUUUACUUAUGAAUGUAAUUCUAUAAGACAUAUGGGUAAAUAGAUGGGAAGAUUGUUGGCUGAGUGAUUUACCAAUAAAAAAAUAAUGUAGUGUGACAUAUGUAUCAUAUAGUAAAGGAGUUGUUAAAAUAACUGCUAAAACUAAAACUGCUAAAACAUGGCCUAGACUCUUUGAGUUUUAUAACUGCUAAAACUUUUUAUUUGUUUUAACUGAUAACCCAACUUAAAGUUCACGUAUUCAUCAGUUGGGGUUACACUCAUUAUUUUCCUAAAGCUAAGAGUUAGAAAACAGAGAAGAAGAGAGAAAGAGAGAAAUUGAGAGAGAAAGAGAGAAAUUGAGAGAGAAAGAGGAGAAAUUAUCUGUAAAUUGACAAGGUUUUGAGAAUCAAAGAAGAAAGAAGAAGAAGAUUUAUAUCAUCUAUUCUAGGUUUAAAGAAGAAUCAAAGGUAAAAUUCUAACUUUAAACUUUAGUUUGUGUUUUUUUAAAGUUUUCUCUGUAAAUGAUUUUGAUGAGGGAAUUGUUAAGAAAAUGGGUUACAUUUGUUAUUGAUAUACAUAUAAUCUAUUAUAGAUAAUCUACAAGAGAUUUUAGAAUUGACAAAUUCAUGAAAAUCAUGUUAAUGAUGAAGAGUAUAAGUUUUGUUUAAUAUAUGUAUUUUGGGUCCGUUUUGAGACUAAAAUUGGUUAGGAGUUUAUGUUAUAAUUAUAAAAUUGGUGAUGUAUUGAGUUAAUACGAUAAGAAAUGAAAAGAACGCUAGUUGAAUGAAUCAAUUUGGUUAAGAAACGAAUUCGUAGUGAAUGAAUUCGUUAACAUGUUAAAACAUGAAAAUAGAAUAUGAACAUGAGUUUUGGGUCAAAAUUUGGGUUAGUUAAUGUUUCUGUAGAUUAUUGAUUCUUAGGUAUGUUGUAUUUUUAUGAAUUACGAAUCCAUAGAAUCAAAACCGGACUAAUUUGGAUGUGUAUAGCUUAAGUUAUGAAGAUUAGAAGGAGAAAAAGGUCAAAAUCGCAAGAACAGUAAACUACAAAAUCUAGUUCUGCUAAUGGGCACAGCUGCGUCGUGCCCUAAGUCUAUUGGGGCACAUCUGCGCUGUUUGCAAGGCUUAAUUGGGCGCAGCUACUCUCUAGGUGUGUCAAGUGUGACUGUUUUGAGCUCCUGUAGUAAAACAACCAUAAUGUUUUCAUACGAACUCUGAUUGAGGCGAUUCAGGAUGAUUCAUAAAAUUAACGAGUAGACUUACAACUUUCAUUAUUUAAAUUUUUCGAUUUGAGGUUGGGAAAAGGGGUUAAAAUGGCCAUCUUUGGGACUGAUGUGUAUUCGGAGGAAAUCGGAGGGCGUCAGACAUGCACGUAUGCAAGUGUAGUGCUUUUGACGAUAAAAGAUGUUAUUCUAAGUUAUAAAACAUGAAUAUUAUGAAGUAUAAUGAUGCUUAACAUUUAUAAAUGAUGUAUUAGAUAAGUUGUAUAAGCAUACACAAGAGAGGUAAAUCAGGCGUGUGACGAAUGAACGUUGAAACGCCGUGACAAUUGUUAAUGAACGUGAAAAGUGUUUCAAUUAAAUUAAAAUAAACAUUAUAAGAUGGAAUGGGGUUAAUAUAAAAUCAAUAAGGAGUCCUAGAAAGACUUAAACACUUGAAUGAACUUCGAGUAUGACUAAGAGGAAGUAUAGUGAGAUAUAAGUCGAAAGUUAACACAAAUAAAUUGAACAUUGUGUAUUGAUUAAUAGGAAGGGUAAUUGGGAUGUAGAGUAAAGUUUACAUUACAACUACCAUGCGUUGCUAUGUGACUAAUAGUUUAUGUGCAUGAUUAUAUAUUUGUGUAGAGCACGUGAAGUGCAGAUAGCUGUAAGCUGUAGGGAUUUCGGCACAUAAAAUUAGCAAAAAUUAAAAUAUUCAAAGACAAUUUCGAAACCCUAAAACAUGAUCUAUGCGAAAAACAUAUUAAUUCAAUGGUUUAGAUUUUAUAUCGAUUAUAGAAAAAUCUCUGAAACAGCUUCGAAUCUUCAACGCAAUCCAAUAGAACUACGCCUCUACGGUAUCCACACGAAUGCCCCGCGAAUUGUCACACGAUCUGCAGUGAAGAGAACUGCGAUACUAGCCACCAAGGAUCAGGAUUUUCAAAAAAUUUCUCCCUAGUCUCUCUCUAAGAGCAGCUAGGUUUUUUUUUAGGUUAUGAUAUGAUUCACAAAAUGGCUGAUAUAUAUAUAUAUAUAUAUAUAUAUAUAUAUCAGUCAAAAGGAAUUAAUCAAUACCUAAUCUAAUUAAAAAUAAAAACUGAAUUUAUAUAUAUAUAUAUUAUAUCUUAAUUAAGUCUUACUUAAUUAAUAUACAUAUAUAUAAAUUAUCCUAUUAAUUUAAAUUUAUAAUUUAAAUACUAUUAAUCAUAUUGACAUAUUUAAAUCCUUACGAUUUAAAUUAAUUCCCUUUUAAUUAUGUUAUAUGUGUGUGACCCUAUAGGUUAUUAUUACGUUGGUAAUAAUUUUAAAAUCAUAUUAUAAAAUUAUAAACAGUUCGCGGCAUCAAGUAAUGCAUCAUUGCUACCCAAGUAAUAAUAAGAUCGAUAAUUUGAUGCAACCUUUUCGUUACCAAUGUUUCAAUGUAAUUUAAUCCUUUUAACCCUGACAUCCUAGAUUAAACUCGAGUCAUGGAAUGUGGCAUACUCGUCAUAAUUUAAUCUGAGUUUUCUUGAUCAAUGAGUAGACUAUAUGAAACAAAUCACUAUUUAAGCAUGGCCAUGUAUUUCAUCGUCCUACUCAAUCAAGAGGCCUAUGGAUAUCACCCCUAAUAUAUAGGAGGGUUAAAUUCCAUCUAAAUCAAUCAUAAUCCUCACACGAUUCAUGAUGUGCCCAAUAAUCACCUUUAUUGUCUACCCUAUUAAAGGUGACUUUUGAUGAUAUCAAAGUACAUAAAUUCAUGUGUAGUAAUAUAGUGAUUUUUGGUCAGAGGAUCAUUAUAUAAUUAUCACUAUGAGAAUCGUUAAUGAUACUUCGCAUAAUGCUCCACAUAGAAUUCUCAUGGUGAGUCUGUCCAGUACAUCGUUCUCUAACAUGUACCUAUGCAUUGACUCAAUAUCUCAUAUAUUUAUAACCAAUGAGAUUUGGUCAUCAAUCAAUCCACAUACUAGUCUCAAUGUAUCAUUGUUGUCCCAUCAACAAUGAUACUCGACUAGGGACAUUUAAGAGAAAUGAUACUAAUUGUAAUUAUAUAAUCUCAUGUUCAAGUCACAUACUUGAAACUAUAUAAUUUGUAUCACUAUUCUAAGGAAUUUUAUUAUGUUAACAUUUAUAUAACGCAGUAAAUAAAACCACAAUAAAAUCAUUCAUUUAUUCAAUGAAAUAUAAUAUCAAAAUGUUAAGCUAUUAUAUCAAAUAAUUGACCUCUAGGGCAUACACUCUAACAUAAGCUGUUAAACUGUUAUUGGUAAACAAUGAUCAAGGCAAGUCUUUCAGUUCCUAUUUGCUAUGUGAACUUGACGAUGAACUAUUUUAAUUCUUUAUUACAAAGAGCCUGAUGUGUUAUAUAUGUUGAAAGUAUGAAACGUUAAAGUCAAUUUAUGACUACAUUGAUUGAAUAAAGAAUGUUGAUUGAGUAAAGAACUCAAUCUUUAUACUUGUUAUGUGAACUGCAGCAUGUAUGCUAUGUUAGUCCAAUGAUUAUGAGAUAUAUGUUGAGCAUGUUAUUAUAUGUUACGCGAUGUAUGAAAACUGUUAGAUUUGCUGAGCUGUCGAGCUUAACCUUGCAAAUAACCACUUUUUACAGGUUAAGGAUUCAAGGUAACGCUAAGUGCUACUUGAAAGACAUGAAUAAGAUGUAAUACAUGAAGAUUUAUAUACCUUGGCUGAGUUGUUAUAAUUUAUGAUUUGAAAUUUCAUAUUUAGUUGUAAAGUUUGAGCUACCCAAUGUAUAAGGGAUAUCGAGCUAAGAUGUAAGAUUUUAUAUAAUAAAUCUGAUGAAGCGAACCUUAAAAUAAAUUUGAUUCAAAGAUGUGUAGAUGAUAAAGUUUUUGAUUCAGG
rnacentral:lncRNA from 1 species